GACGAGCGCUGGCGGCGUGCUUAACACAUGCAAGUCGAACGGUGAACCAGGGCUUGCCCUGGGGAUCAGUGGCGAACGGGUGAGUAACACGUGGGCAACCUGCCCCUGACUCUGGGAUAACUUCGGGAAACCGAAGCUAAUACCGGAUACGACCUCUGACGGCAUCGUCGGAGGUGGAAAGUUUUUCGGUCAGGGAUGGGCCCGCGGCCUAUCAGCUUGUUGGUGGGGUAAUGGCCCACCAAGGCGACGACGGGUAGCCGGCCUGAGAGGGCGACCGGCCACACUGGGACUGAGACACGGCCCAGACUCCUACGGGAGGCAGCAGUGGGGAAUACUGCGCAAUGGGCGAAAGCCUGACGCAGCGACGCCGCGUGAGGGAUGAAGGCCUUCGGGUUGUAAACCUCUUUCAGCAGGGACGAAGCGAAAGUGACUGUACCUGCAGAAGAAGCACCGGCUAACUACGUGCCAGCCGCCGCGGUAA
rnacentral:rRNA from 1 species